AGUAGCCGCGGGAAUACGUAGGGUGCAAGCGUUAAUCGGAAUUACUGGGCGUAAAGCGUGCGCAGGCGGUUAUAUAAGACAGAUGUGAAAUCCCCGGGCUCAACCUGGGAACUGCAUUUGUGACUGUAUAGCUAGAGUACGGCAGAGGGGGAUGGAAUUCCGCGUGUAGCAGUGAAAUGCGUAGAUAUGCGGAGGAACACCGAUGGCGAAGGCAAUCCCCUGGGCCUGUACUGACGCUCAUGCACGAAAGCGUGGGGAGCAAACAGGAUUAGAUACCCCGGUAGUCCCUGUCUCUUAUACA
rnacentral:rRNA from 1 species